rnacentral:rRNA from 1 species
GAUGAACGCUAGCGGCAGGCCUAACACAUGCAAGUCGAGGGGUAUAGGGAGCUUGCUUCCUAGAGACCGGCGCACGGGUGCGUAACGCGUAUGCAAUCUACCUUGUACAGGGGAAUAGCCCAGAGAAAUUUGGAUUAAUGCCCCAUAGUAUUAUUAAAUGGCAUCCUUUAAUAAUUAAAGUUCCAACGGUACAAGAUGAGCAUGCGUCUUAUUAGUUAGUUGGUGUGGUAACGGCAUACCAAGACGAUGAUAGGUAGGGGUCCUGAGAGGGAGAUCCCCCACACUGGUACUGAGACACGGACCAGACUCCUACGGGAGGCAGCAGUGAGGAAUAUUGGACAAUGGGCGCAAGCCUGAUCCAGCCAUGCCGCGUGCAGGAAGACGGUCCUAUGGAUUGUAAACUGCUUUUUAUACAGGAAGAAACACUGGUUCGUGAACCAGCUUGACGGUACUGUAAGAAUAAGGAUCGGCUAACUCCGUGCCAGCAG